rnacentral:rRNA from 1 species
AGAAUCAACGCUGGCGGCGUGCCUAACACAUGCAAGUCGCACGAGAAAGGGUAGCAAUACCUGAGUAAAGUGGCGCACGGGUGAGUAACACGUGAAUUAUCUACCUCCGAGUGGGGAAUAACUGAGAGAAAUCUUAGCUAAUACCGCAUAACACUUACGAGUCAAAGCAGCAAUGCGCUUGGAGAGGAGUUCGCGGCAGAUUAGUUAGUUGGCGGGGUAAUGGCCCACCAAGACGAUGAUCU